AUACGGAGGGUGCAAGCGUUAUCCGGAAUCACUGGGCGUAAAGGGCGCGUAGGUGGUCUGUUAAGUCUGGCGUUAAAGCCUGGGGCUCAACCCCAGAUCAGCGUUGGAUACUGGCAGGCUAGACGGUUGGAGAGGCGAGUGGAAUUACCAGUGUAGCGGUGGAAUGCGUAGAUACUGGUAGGAACACCCAUUGCGAAGGCAGCUCGCUGGACAACACGUGACACUGAGGCGCGAAAGUGUGGGGAGCAAACCGGAUUAGAUACCCGGGUAGUCCACACCCUAAACGGUGCAUACUUGGUAUUGGCCCGUUGGGGUCAGUGCCGGAGCUAACGUGUUAAGUAUGCCGCCUGGGAAGUACGGCCGCAAGGUUGAA
rnacentral:rRNA from 1 species